rnacentral:sRNA from 1 species
GCUGGGCGCAGUGGCUCAUGCCUGUAAUCCCAGUGGCUUGGGAAGCUGAGGCAGGAGGAUCAUGAGUUCAAAGCCAGCUUCUGCAAAAGCACACCAUCAAGCAACUCAGUGAGACCCUGUCUCUA